rnacentral:rRNA from 1 species
GGAAUUACUGGGCGUAAAGCGAGCGUAGGUGGCUUGAUAAGUCAGAUGUGAAAGCCCCGGGCUUAACCUGGGAACGGCAUCUGAUACUGUUAGGCUAGAGUAGGUGAGAGGAAGGUAGAAUUCCAGGUGUACGGUGAAAUGCGUAGAGAUCUGGAGGAAUACCGAUGGCGAAGGCAGCCUUCUGGCAUCAUACUGACACUGAGGUUCGAAAGCGUGGGUAGCAAACAGGAUUAGAUACCCUGGUAGUCCACGCCGUAAACGAUGUCUACUAGUCGUUGGGUCCCUUGAGGACUUAGUGACGCAGCUAACGCAAUAAGUAGACCGCCUGGGGAGUACGGCCGCAAGGUUAAAACUCAAAUGAAUUGACGGGGGCCCGCACAAGCGGUGGAGCAUGUGGUUUAAUUCGAUGCAACGCGAAGAACCUUACCUGGUCUUGACAUAUCUAGAAUCCUGCAGAGAUGCGGGAGUGCCUUCGGGAAUUAGAAUACAGGUGCUGCAUGGCUGCGUCAGCUCGUGUCGUGAGAUGUUGGGUUAAGUCCCGCAACGAGCGCAACCCUUGUCCUUAGUUACCAGCGGUUUGGCCGGGAACUCUAAGAUACUGCCAGUGACAAACUGGAGGAAGGCGGGGACGACGUCAAGUCAUCAUGGCCCUUACGACCAGGGCUACACACGUGCUACAAUGGUAGGUACAGAGGGCAGCUACACAGCGAUGUGAUGCGAAUCUCAAAAAGCCUAUCGUAGUCCAGAUUGGAGUCUGCAACUCGACUCCAUGAAGUANNAAUCGCUAGUAAUCGCGGAUCAGAAUGCCGCGGUGAAUACGUUCCCGGGCCUUGUACACACCGCCCGUCACACCAUGGGAGUUGAUUGCACCAGAAG